ACGCUGGCGGCGUGCUUAACACAUGCAAGUCGAACGGAAAGGCCCUGCUUUUGUGGGGUGCUCGAGUGGCGAACGGGUGAGUAACACGUGAGUAACCUGCCCUUGACUUUGGGAUAACUUCAGGAAACUGGGGCUAAUACCGGAUAGGAGCUCCUGCUGCAUGGUGGGGGUUGGAAAGUUUCGGCGGUUGGGGAUGGACUCGCGGCUUAUCAGCUUGUUGGUGGGGUAGUGGCUUACCAAGGCUUUGACGGGUAGCCGGCCUGAGAGGGUGACCGGCCACAUUGGGACUGAGAUACGGCCCAGACUCCUACGGGAGGCAGCAGUGGGGAAUAUUGCACAAUGGGCGGAAGCCUGAUGCAGCAACGCCGCGUGCGGGAUGACGGCCUUCGGGUUGUAAACCGCUUUCGCCUGUGACGAAGCGUGAGUGACGGUAAUGGGUAAAGAAGCACCGGCUAACUACGUGCCAGCAGCCGCGGUGAUACGUAGGGUGCGAGCGUUGUCCGGAUUUAUUGGGCGUAAAGGGCUCGUAGGUGGUUGAUCGCGUCGGAAGUGUAAUCUUGGGGCUUAACCCUGAGCGUGCUUUCGAUACGGGUUGACUUGAGGAAGGUAGGGGAGAAUGGAAUUCCUGGUGGAGCGGUGGAAUGCGCAGAUAUCAGGAGGAACACCAGUGGCGAAGGCGGUUCUCUGGGCCUUUCCUGACGCUGAGGAGCGAAAGCGUGGGGAGCGAACAGGCUUAGAUACCCUGGUAGUCCACGCUGUAAACGGUGGGUACUAGGUGUGGGGUCCAUUCCACGGGUUCCAUGCCGUAGCUAACGCUUUAAGUACCCCGCCUGGGGAGUACGGCCGCAAGGCUAAAACUCAAAGGAAUUGACGGGGCCCCGCACAAGCGGCGGAGCAUGCGGAUUAAUUCGAUGCAACGCGUAGAACCUUACCUGGGUUUGACAUGGAUCGGGAGUGCUCAGAGAUGGGUGUGCCUCUUUUGGGGUCGGUUCACAGGUGGUGCAUGGCUGUCGUCAGCUCGUGUCGUGAGAUGUUGGGUUAAGUCCCGCAACGAGCGCAACCCUUGUUCACUGUUGCCAGCACGUUAUGGUGGGGACUCAGUGGAGACCGCCGGGGUCAACUCGGAGGAAGGUGGGGAUGACGUCAAGUCAUCAUGCCCCUUAUGUCCAGGGCUUCACGCAUGCUACAAUGGCUGGUACAGAGAGUGGCGAGCCUGUGAGGGUGAGCGAAUCUCGGAAAGCCGGUCUCAGUUCGGAUUGGGGUCUGCAACUCGACCUCAUGAAGUCGGAGUCGCUAGUAAUCGCAGAUCAGCAACGCUGCGGUGAAUACGUUCCCGGGGCUUGUACACACCGCCCGUCAAGUCAUGAAAGUUGGUAACACCCGAAGCCGGUGGCCUAACCGUUGUGGGGGAGCCGUCGAAGGUGGGACUGGUGAUUAGGACUA
rnacentral:rRNA from 1 species